rnacentral:rRNA from 1 species
UACGUAGGGUGCGAGCGUUGUCCGGAAUUAUUGGGCGUAAAGAGCUCGUAGGCGGUCUGUCGCGUCGGUCGUGAAAACUUGGGGCUUAACCCUGAGCUUGCGGUCGAUACGGGCAUGACUGGAGUUCGGCAGGGGAGACUGGAAUUCCUGGUGUAGCGGUGAAAUGCGUAGAGAUUUGGAGGAACACCAGUGGCGAAGGCGACUUUCUGGUCCGUAACUGACGCUGAGGCGCGAAAGCGUGGGGAGCAAACAGG